rnacentral:siRNA from 1 species
CACCACCAUCAAACCACGUCCU